rnacentral:lncRNA from 1 species
UAUAUUAUAUAAUAAAUAAAAUAUUAUUUAUAUUUAUCAAUUUUUCAUGUGUUUAAAAAAUUUUAUGUAAUAUUACAUUGUUGUCCUUACACUGUCACUCAUUUUUAUGACCAAACUAGAUCAAUGGAUCAUACUUUAAAAAUUUAAAAACAACAUGAGUUAUAUAAGUAAAUAUUUAAAAACUCUUUGUUUUUAAUGAUUUUAUAAUAAACACUAGGGAUUGCAGCCAUUGAACAGUGUAGCCACUAGAUUUUUCGGCUGCAUCGGAAAAGGGUAAAAUUUGGGGUACCUUGCAACUGUUGCAAGGUAGUUGGACCCGUGCAUUCUAUUUGAUUUUGAUAACUUCACCAAAUCUGGCCUCAUUAUACAAGGAAUUAAGCUUGCGCCCAAAAAUGGCUGACUGCUAGAUUGAAUUAUUGAAUUAUUUGGCAGAAAAAUUGUGCUGCUUUAAAUACCAAAGUUGUGACACUAAUACAAUUAGCUUUCCAAUAGUAUGCUACAUAUGGAUAUUUAUAAAUACAAGAUCAAUCCAAAUUCUUAAUUUCUAAUUAAAAAAAAUUAUGAUGAGACCGAUUACUGUGGAAGCCAUGUGAAAAUUAAUUUGGCCCACAACUCAAUAAAAAUUAGUAAUAGUUAUUAGCUUAAUGAUAUUUAACUUCUAAAAUUUUGAUUUUUUUUAGGG